rnacentral:rRNA from 1 species
GAUGAACGCUGGCGGUAUGCCUUACACAUGCAAGUCGAACGGGAAUUAGCUUCGGUUAAUUCUAGUGGCGGACGGGUGAGUAACACGUGAGAAUUCGCCUUUAGGAGGGGGAUAACGAAUGGAAACAUUCGCUAAAACCCCAUAUGCCCCUGGGUGAAACAGAAGAGAUAAGUAAUACUGAAUCCCUUCUGCCUGAAGAGAAGCUCGCGGCUGAUUAGCUAGUUGGUAGGGUAAAGGCCUACCAAGGCGACGAUCAGUAGCUGGUCUGAGAGGACGAUCAGCCACACUGGAACUGAGACACGGUCCAGACACCUACGGGUGGCUG